AGAUGCGAUCAUACCAGCACUAAAGCAUCGGAUCCCAUCAGAACUCCGAAGUUAAGCGUGCUUGGGCAAGAGUAGUACUAGGAUGGGUGACCUCCUGGGAAGUCCUCGUGUUGCAUUCC
rnacentral:rRNA from 1 species